GUCUAUGGCCAUGCCAUCCUGAACACGUCCGAUCUCGUCUGAUCUUGGAAGCUAAGCAGGGUCGGGCCCAGUUAGUACUCGGAUGGGAGACUAUCUAGGAAGACCAGGCGCUAUAGGCA
rnacentral:rRNA from 1 species